UACAGAGGGUGCAAGCGUUAAUCGGAAUUACUGGGCGUAAAGCGUGCGCAGGCGGUUUGCUAAGACCGAUGUGAAAUCCCCGGGCUUAACCUGGGAACUGCAUUGGUGACUGGCAAGCUAGAGUAUGGCAGAGGGGGGUAGAAUUCCACGUGUAGCAGUGAAAUGCGUAGAGAUGUGGAGGAAUACCGAUGGCGAAGGCAGCCCCCUGGGCCAAUACUGACGCUCAUGCACGAAAGCGUGGGGAGCAAACAGG
rnacentral:rRNA from 1 species